rnacentral:rRNA from 1 species
AUACGUAGGUGGCGAGCGUUAUCCGGAAUUACUGGGUGUAAAGGGUGAGUAGGCGGGAGAGCAAGUCAGAUGUGAAAUGCAAAGGCUUAACCUUUGAAUUGCAUUUGAAACUGUUUUUCUUGAGAGUCGGAGAGGUAAUCGGAAUUCCUAGUGUAGCGGUGAAAUGCGUAGAGAUUAGGAAGAACACCAGUGGCGAAGGCGACUUUCUGGACCGUAACUGACGCUGAGAUACGAAAGCGUGGGGAGC